rnacentral:misc_RNA from 1 species
AAGUCGUAACAAGGUUUCCGUAGGUGAACCUGCGGAAGGAUCAUUAUCGAGUUAGGGUCUUCUAGGCCCGACCUCCAACCUUUUGUCUACUUAACUUAUGUUGCUUCGGCGAGCCCGCACCUUGAAAAUAUAGGUGGCCGCCGGGGGGUUUAUACCUCUGGUCCGUGCUCGUCGAUAGCCAUUAUUAAACUCUUGUUUAAACAUGUUGUCUAAGUCAUAAACAAAAUUAAAGCAAAA